rnacentral:lncRNA from 13 species
CCCACCUCAGCUGCUGGUUUCCGCCCCCAGGGCUGGGCUUUCCCCGCCAGCAAGGAGCGGAAAUAAGGGGUGCUAUCUGAAGGAUAGAGAAGGAGAGGGAAAGCAGAGAGAGACCCUGGAGUCUGCUGAGUCUUAAAUGGGAUGUACCAUUGUCCUUUGGUCAUCAGUGACUUCUUGAACUGACAAGUGACACACAAAUCCUGGUAUGGUGAGAACAAAAGGAAAAGAAGUAGAUUGCGAGGAUCUUGAGAAGAGAUGUCUGUCUUACCCACCAUGAAUCCUGGAGCUGAUCUAGCCGACCUUAG